rnacentral:lncRNA from 1 species
AUGCCUUCAGGGCAGCACAGCUUGCAGCUCUGGGGCUGUCUGAGCAUUCAUCCCCAAGCUCCUGCUCUCCUUCUUCCCUUCUCCAGGGUGGAAGUAAGGGCUAGUAACUCCCUGGGAGGUGUGGAUGGAGGACAACUCGAGGUUGUCCCUUUUUGUCUUGCAGGGGCAGAGUUUCCGUGGGUAAUGGCAUACGCAUCCAUGAAAAGCUGCCACAGGGUCCUGAGGGAUGCCCACGGGGAGUUUUCUCCUCCUGCAUACUGCAGUGAUUCUCCGGUCAACUUCUGGUGCAACUGGACCAUCUGGGCAGGCUCCAGGAAGCAUAUCGUCAUUUACAUCCAGGGCUUUACCACUAAGGAAGGUUGUAACAAGAACGAGGACAAGAUCCUCUUCGAAGGGGUGUCCUCGCUGGUGGAGAACAGCGUGGUUUAUGCCUGCUGGAAGAAGGAGACGCACGUUUUCGCCACCUUUGCUCAGGCUGUCCGUGUGGUGCUGCUGAAGAGGUACGUGCCGAACCGCAGGGACGCACAGUUCAAAGGGAAAUAUUUCACCUUCCAGGAUGAGAAAAGCAGAUCUCCCUCCAGCAGUGCUUCAAUUCCCAGAACUCUAUCUCCAGAGCUUCCCAAACCAGGAGGUGUUUUUGAGCCUGGACAGGCUGAAGGCCCCAGGGACGUGCUGGGCUUGGCGAGCACGGACAGCACCGAGAGCUCUGGUGUGACUGCGGUGCUGCACAACGUGUCCCCACAUGGAAGAGGCCUUGCAGGAAGCCCUGAUGGGCUCAGAGGCACAGAGAUCCCACUCCUGGAAGCAAAAUCUGCUCACGUGCCGGGGCCUGAGCCACCAGCAGGCCCGAGGCCCUGCGAGGAGGAUCAGUGUGGGAGCCCUGCCACGAGUGGAGAUGUCAGAUUUUCAAGUGUGCCUUUGGAAACUCCUCUGCUCAGAGCCUUGCAGGGAGCAGAGUCUUUUCUGCAGCCCACAGAUGUGGGUCAGGAAGGUGAUCUGUCCGUCCUGCAGCCUACCCUGAGGCUGGGAGAUGUGGGCAGCCCCCAGCCCACCAUUAAACCAACACACGCCGCUCACCUGAACGUAGCUGCUCGCUCAUGGGCUCUGUCCACUGGCAGAAGGGAAAGCCAAGGCACUGCUGGUACCACCACGUACCAGGGGCUGGGUGCAGCUGGUUUGGAGGAGGACAAGAGCCAGGAGGAGGACAAAAGCCAUGGAGCAGCGAGGGGUGGUGCUGGUGGUCUUGCGAAGGGCCUGGUGCCAAGUACCAUCUCGCAGCUGCCACCUGAGAGAAGCCAAAGCAAUUUUGAGGGUUUGUCCACAACUCAACCCCACCUGGGAAAGGCCAGCCUCCAGCAUGCGAAGCUGAUGGGUAUUUCUCCCCUGGAAAUAAGGAAAUUCCCCACACCGGCCCUCUCCCACCCUGACCACGUCCCUGCGGGCUUAGGAUCUGGCAAUUUCUCCCCCAGGGAUCCUCUUCCUUCACAAGCAGAGGCUGUUUCCAGGUUGGACUCACCUCCAGCAGCAGCUCUGGGUUUGGGUGCUGUCAGGAGAAGGGCAGGGACCCCACCAGCCAGCCCUGGAGGACAGGAGGAGCUCUCCCCAUCACCACCCCACCACCCAUCAGCAGCCCCCACGCUGGGUGCAGAGGUGUCCCCCGGCCCCCUUGGCCUUGAGAUGAGCAAACGGGUGCUGGAAGAGGGUGGCCAGCGAGAAGAAACCCCAUCUCCUGCAGGAUUUCCAGCCAGAGGUCCCUCUGUGUCCUCCAUCCCCAGGCUGAGGUCUGUCACGGGCCUUCCUUGUCCCCAGCACCAGGUGAGUUGUGGCUGUGGGGUGGCACCUGGGGGGUGA